rnacentral:rRNA from 1 species
GUCGAGCGAGAAAGCUCCUUCGGGAGUUAGUAAAGCGGCGAUUUGUCGAGUAAUUGAGAUUGAGAAUCUACCCUUCAGUGAGGAAUACCUCCGAGAAAUCGGGGUUAAUACUGCAUUUUUCCCUUCGGGGAGAAAGGUGGCCUCAAUGCUGCCGCUGAUGGAUGAGCUUGCGGGCUAUCAGUUAGUUGGUGAGGUAAUGGCUCACCAAGACUAUGUUUGCUAGCUUUUCCGUGAGAGGGUGUUUUGCCAGACUGGAAUUGAGAAGAUUGAGAUGUCCAGACUCCUUUUGGAGGCAGCAGUGGGGAAUAUUGCGCAAUGGGCGAAAGCCUGUUUCAGCGUUUCCGCGUGAAGGAUGAAGGUCUUCGGAUUGUAAAUUGAGACUGUUAAGUGGGAAGAAAGACACACUCCUAAUACAAAUGUGGGAUGACGGUACCAUUAGAGAAAGCACCGGCUAAUUGAGACGUGCCAGCAGCCGCGGUAAUUUUAGGGGUGCAAGCGUUAUUCGGAAUAAUUGGGCGUACAGGGUGUGUUGUUUGCAUAUUAAGUCAACUGCUCAAUUCUCUUUUCCGUAACCGGAGGUCAGCGGUAGAAACUGAUGUGCUUGAGUAUGGAAGAGAGAAGUGGAAUUCUCGGAGUAGCGGUAAAAUGCGUAGAUCUCGAGAGGAACACCGAUGGCGAAAGCAGCUUCUUGGUCCAUUACUGUUUUUGAGACACGAAAGCGUGGGGAGCAAACAGGAUUAGAUACCCUGGUAGUCCUUUCUGUAAU